GACUCCGGUGGUGGCACUCCUGGUCUCCAGGAUGGGGUUCAAUUCCCUGCGGUGUC
ensembl:sRNA